GACCUGGGAGGCAUGAAAAGGCCCCAAGGACACCACACUCCAGCCCAGGAGCCUGAGGAGGCGACGUCCUGUGAGUGUCCCCACCAUGGCCUGGAUGGUGCUUCUUCUCGGGCUCCUUGCUUACAGCUCAGGGGCGGAUUCUCAGUCUGUGGUGACCCAGGAGCCAUCACUCUCAGUGUCUUCAGGAGGGACAGUCACACUCACCUGUGGCCUUAACUCUGGGUCAGUCUCUUCCAGUAACCACCCCAGCUGGCACCAGCAAACCCCAGGCCAGGCUCCCCGCACACUUAUCUACUACACAAACACCCGUGCCUCUGGAGUCCCUAAUCGCUUCUCUGGAUCCAUCUCCGGGAACAGAACCACCCUCACUAUCACGGGGGCCCAGCGUGAGGACGAGGCCGACUAUUACUGCGCUCUGUAUACGGGUAGUUACACUGACACAGUGCUGUAAACCCACGGGGAAGUACAACCAAAACCUCCUCCUGUGCUCAGAAUGGCUCAGCCCUUCAAGGCAGGAAAGGAAGUGAGAGGGUGGAGACGGUAACACCACCAUGGCGGGGAGGCCCUUGGCGCCAUCCUCCUAUCCACUGGUCCAUCGUCACAUGCCUCCUCCAGCGUCUCCCAGGCUGUGUCCAUCCCUCUAGGGUGACUCCUCCAAGACUUUCCUUCCUCUCUCCCUCUCUGCCUGUGAUGAUGGGAGGGGGACUCGGGUUCAAAAUACAUCAACCAACAGUGAGACUCGGAGACCCCACCACAACCUUUGAGACUCUUUUUAUUCAAACAGCAUUGA